rnacentral:rRNA from 1 species
GGGGAAUUUUGGACAAUGGGGGGAACCCUGAUCCAGCAAUCCCGCGUGUGCGAUGAAGGCCUUCGGGUUGUAAAGCACUUUUAGCAGGGAAGAAACAGCGCCGGUUAAUACCCGGCGUCACUGACGGUACCUGCAGAAUAAGCACCGGCUAACUACGUGCCAGCAGCCGCGGUAAUACGUAGGGUGCAAGCGUUAAUCGGAAUUACUGGGCGUAAAGGGUGCGCAGGCGGCCUGGCAAGAAAGGUGUGAAAUCCCAGGGCUUAACCGUGGAAUGGCACUUUUAACUGCCAAGCUAGAGUAUGUCAGAGGGGGGUAGAAUUCCACGUGUAGCAGUGAAAUGCGUAGAGAUGUGGAGGAAUACCGAUGGCGAAGGCAGCCCCCUGGGAUAAUACUGACGCUCAGGCACGAAAGCGUGGGGAGCAAAC